rnacentral:lncRNA from 1 species
CUCUAAAGAUCUCUGCAUGUAGUAGAAGACAAGUUGCUCCUUCAAUGAAGCUCUUUCUUCCUGGUUAGGAUCCUUGCCGGAUGAAAUGAAUGCCACAAACAUUGAAUGUGAAGCUCUAGCCACUUUUCCAUUUUGAUGUCCCAUAUAUCUAAUUCAACAUGAAUUUAGGAAUCACGCAUUCACCAAAAUCAGCGAAUGGAAGAGCAACCCAUAUUUUGGAAAUUACGACAUUUUACAUAUUAUAGGAUACAGAAACAUAGUUGGAGCCACCACCUUCCUAAAUAAAGAGGUCGGUAAAUGCUCAAUGCAAGUCGGGAUAACCCGCAAGUAAAAUAAGAUCCGAGCUGUCUGUACAUCGUCAUUGGACCAUAGAUACUCCAUUUUCUGCAAGUUGGAAAAACCUGCUAGACAAAACCAAUAUAGUCAGGAAGCCCACACACAAAUUGAUAGCUGAUAAAGAGGCAUAAAAAAAAUAUAGUAAGUACCAUGUUUACUUGUCAAAUCGCUAUAAGAUGGCAUGGAUUUUACAAAUGAGACACAAGCUGAUUCAUUCUCCUGAACACUUACUACAGCUGCUCUUAUUGUAUCCAUAUACUCAGGCAAACGCAUCCUUCGGAAAUAUUCCAUGCAAGAAAAAGAAACCAAUAUCCUAACUGAAAGCGUCAAGCGAGUAUCUUGGCUACUAUUAGGGCCUAACCUAUACUUUGUGACUGCCAGUGCAAAAAGCACAACCAUAAGGAAAGCAGAUUCAGCAAUUUUCUCCAAAUCUCCAAGGAGCCCACUCUUGACACCUUGAUAUACAAAAGCAACAUGUUGAUGCUGCAAGUAGAUCUCCUGACAGUGCUCCCAGAUAAGAUUUUCAAUACUGUUCUUGGUUUCUUCAUCAGCUGAGACAUACUGAUUGCAAAAUGCCCCAGUUAUAGCCCCUGCUUCCCUAAAACUAGUACUGGCUAGAUGCUCUUUAACCUCAUUAACCAAAAGUCCUUUGAAACUGCCAACAGACAAAUCAAGCAUCUUCUGGUACAUGCGCACCAAAGGGAAAAUCUCACCUAAUAAUGCUAAAGCAAGGCAUAAAAGAAGAGAAGCAGAAUAGGAAAUGGAGCCACUACGAGCUGCACCUAGGGAUAUACAUUGUAGGAGAACACUGUCUCUAAGUUCAGUGCCAGAAGCAUUAACACCUUCAGUUCUAGCUACAAGGUCUGUUGCCACUGUUCCAAUCAGCUCCUCCGCAGAAACUUUUAAAGGCAUAAAAUCAUUUGAUCCAGAUCUAUUGAGAACCUUCAGAACACCAGCUGCAGCCAUGACCAAGGCAAAUGAAGAAUAAGAGGGCUUCCUAUUUACCAACAUCACCCUCCUAAAAAGAUCUGCUUUGUCUGUGGAAUGCGAGUUUAUGCAAUUAGAUAGAACCCACUCAACCAUAUGCAGUAUCAUGAGCCCAUAAGGAACACUAACAGAUGGACCAUCCUGUUUCUCCCAUAUCUCAAAAAAGAAGUCUAAAAUUGAAACAAAAUAGGCAUUCACAGAAGAAGAUAAAGCAUAACCAAUUCCCCCUAAAACAUUGGGUAGAACUCCUUCCAAUACACCAAUCAUUUGAUAUUCCUGUUCCACUAGCUUGCAGAGCAACUCCAAGCAGAAUGUUUUGGAUUUUUCAGAUGCAGAAGGUACAAAAGAAAUAGCUCCCAAAAGGAGAACACCUUCAGAAAAGAAAAUUGAGCUUUUGUUGAUGUAGAAUUUCUCAGAGAAUAUGUCUGACAGAACCUCAACCGUUGAGUCAAUCAUAAUCAAAGACUGUUUGGAAGAUUUCCUGACCCAUAUAUACAGCAGCCUAAGAAAGAGAGGAUACGACUCAGGUGGAAGAGAGACAUUAGGUAAGGAUAGAAUUGAAAGUAGAAGCUUUGCCUGAGGAUCUGCAACAUAAAGGACAUUCUGAGAGCCACAGAGGAUUUUCAAAGAUUGCAGAUGAUGAGGUUCAAAAGACUGUGAUUGAAGUGAGUCCCUAAGAUCAGUCCAAGCUUGGAUGAUGGCUUGGGCAGAUAAGGAAGAAGACUUUCUGGAACUUAUAGUGUCACCAAUACCACUGUUCUGAUAUAACCAGUCCUCAAGGAAUAUGGGAUGACCUUGAUUUGCCAUCUUCUCGAGUUACCAGCAUAGAACCUCAGUGUGCAGUACUCUCAUUAAUUCUUGUAAAC